UGCAGACAUUUCUAGACCUUUAAAAAACACCAUUCCUUGCUUGAGGACUCUCCCGACUGAGCGGCCGGUCAAAAACUCUCUGGUACGAGGAUUCCUCCUGUUGUUGAAAUGGUAAAAUGAGCUUUAAUCUGCAAAAUUUUAACCUAUGACCACCUGUUUUAGCUCUUCCAUUCCAGAGGCAACCUCAGUCCACCCGGAAGCCGGCCCCCACCGAACACGGCACGAGGGCGCCUCGUGGCACUUCUCCAAGUGAAUUUUGUUCACACGCACCUUCCUUGACCAGACGUGGUUCACCAGGGUCCGCCAAGCCCCUAAAUCCAUACACAUGGUAGGCCGUGAGGACAGGGGUCCGUCAACCCAAAGUCCACUUGGCAUUUGUUUCUGAUUGUGAGGACCCAGCACAGAUGUGGGCACCUGGACGCUUUCCCUCCUCUCUCAGGGCACGCAGGACAUCCCCUCCCGCGACGCUCGGGUUCACGAGAGGAGACCGGGCAGAAAGACCACAGGCCAUCUGAGGGCGGGACGGGGUCUUUUCACCUCUGAGUCCCCAGGCAGCGCGAAUCCAAGAGUCGCUUCAGCCCCAUCUAUAUCCACCAAAGGACUGAUGUUCAAGACUGAGAGCCCGAGGACCAGGCUGGCGGAUGGGGUCCUGGCGCCCGAAAGCUACGUCCGAGUCCCCCCUGCCUGCGAAUGUGAGCUUACUUGAAAAUGGGGUCUUUGCAGAUGUAAUCAGAUGAAGGGUCUGGAUUCAGGGCGGGCCCCGGGUCCAAGGGCUGGGGUCCUUACCAGAGAAAGGAGGGGGACUGGGACACGGAGAGCGAAGCAGGCAGACACCAGGCUGUGGAGCCCACGCCACGGAGCGCCAAGGACGGACGCGCCGCCCGGGGCCCCCGGAGUCUCCCGCACAGGGUCUGGGAGUGGAUCUCUGUGGCUUGGAGCCACCGGUUCACAGGGCCUCGCAUGGCAGCCCGGGAACGAACCCGGCGAGGUCCUCACUGACCCGACAAAGACCCCCGUCACCAAGCACGCUGCUCGCGCUCUCUCCCGGGAGGGUGGGACCCGGUGUCCAGAGGCCCCGCACAGAUGCCCCGUUCUUAUCCUGGGGGACAGCGCGGCUCCGCCCACUCGGUUGAAAGUCUCAGAGCCUCGGUUCGGGGACAAAAGGCCCGAGGGCCCAGAGGAUGCCCGCCGCCCUCACCGCCCUCACGCCCACUGCUCUGCUCCUUGGUCGUCCAGUUGGCCGGCUGCUGUCCGUCUGCAGGGGCCGUGGAGAACCGGGGGCCGCCCACCCCGGGCUCACAGGCCUGUCAGCACACGCCUGGGCCCAGAGCCCGUUCUCCCACGUGAGGGUGUGGGCGGCUGGACGGGUCUCGGGACAGCCCCAGCAGGGGUGAAGCAGAAUGACUGAAUUCAGUCUGGUUUCCUUUCCUAAUUUGCAUGUAUUUCACUCACAGCUACCAACCUUGAACCUGGAGGGGACCCUAAGAGUCUAUUGGGCUUGUGUAUUUUGCCAAGCCCCUCCCCACCAUUACCUGCUCGUGACCUAAGGAACAGAUGUUGCCGUGCAGAUUUCGAGAGUGUGAAAUCCUGUUACAGCAAUAAAUGUCAGCAUGCCCAGGGGCUAGGAUGCUUUCCAGGACUGGAGGGCUUCUAGCCUGGGAGGCUGGGAGAUGGUGACACCACUCGUCUGGACCCUGAGGUUACUGGAGAAGGCGCCUAUUUGACGGGCGACAUGAGCUCAGCUUGGGGAAAUGGGAAAGAAACAAAAGGCAUCAGUUCAGACCUGAUACAACACAGUCUGUUUGCAAAGCUGAAAUAUACACCAAUGAAGCCUCCAAAACGAGUUACAAAAGGAGUUCUCUAUGAGCGCAAAACGACAACCAGGCUGACUGCAUAAGCGCUGACAGAAAAGAUUAACUCACCUGAAGGUUAGGGCAGGAAUCCAGGAGGCCUUCCUGCAGGAGGAGAGUCUCAAGCCAGGUUUUAUGGAUUGCUGACCAGAAUAUUCCAAAAUGAGAAGUACUAGCCAACACUGAAAAACAGAAGACUUUUAUUCAGUUUUCAGAGGAAACACUGAGAGAGGGGAGAGGAGGGAGAAGGGGAGGGAAGGAGACAGAGACAGAGAGACAGAGACAGAGAGAACCUUCUCAUUUUGCUUGGGAACAGAGCACUCAGGAAACAAUGUGGGAUUUUUAUCCAGGAAAUGCCUUCUUCCUUUCUUUCCACUUCUCCCUAAGUAAAUAGCCCAAGACCUCUGUCACGAUGUUUGUGUAGCAUUUAAGGCUGGUUUAUUUAAUUAGAGCGAUGAUUUCAGCCUGCCAGCCAGAGUCCGUGAGACCUCAGCCCUGCCACCUCCAACCGGCAUGGGGGGGCUCACUCACCCUCUGACCUUGGAGGGUCUUUUUAUCCGCUUGAUCUCAGCGUGAUUAGUGAAGGCAGUUAGGCAGUCAGAUGGAAGCCCAGGGCCAUGUCGCCUCUCAGACACUCUUUAACAACCCUGGAAGGGUUUACAGAAAUGAGCCUAGAAGGAAUCAAGCGUGGCCAUGAAUAAACAUCACCUGAGAACGGUGGGAAGACCUCACUCCACCUCUGGAAGAAUGUUCCGGAAAUCAGGGACAGAAGCGGCCGCAGGGAGGGGACCGGCUGGCUAGGAGGAGGGAAGGGGGCUUCAUUUCUCCCUGUUCUCUGUGCUCCUUCCCAUAACAUCCCCGUGCACGUACCACCACGGGGAGACACGUUCCUUAAUGUCUAGUGAAACACCUUGUGCUCCUGCCUUGAUUCCGUGCAAGAUGCU